rnacentral:rRNA from 1 species
UACGGGGGGGGCAAGCGUUGUUCGGAAUUACUGGGCGUAAAGCGCGCGCAGGCGGCCCGCGAGGUGUCACGUGAAAGCCCCGGGCUCAACUCGGGAGGGUCGUGGCAAACCGGCGGGCUUGAGGUCGGUAGAGGUGGGUGGAACUCCUGGUGGAGUGGUGAAAUGCGUAGAGAUCAGGAAGAACACCCGUGGCGAAGGCGGCCCACUGGGCCGGUGCUGACGCUGAGGCGCGAAGGCGUGGGGAGCGAACAGG